rnacentral:tRNA from 1 species
GGCUGGUUAGCUUUAUCAGUUAGAGCAUGGUGCUGAUAACACCAAGGUCACGGGUUUGAUCCCUGUUCGGUCC